AAUUCUGAGUACCUGCCAUAUAGAAGUACUGAAAAACUAUUUGGUAAAUAUGUGAAAAAAUGAAGUAAACCAGCAGAAUGGUCUUUUUCAUGUACAAUUUUAUUUUUUAUUCUAUUUUAGAUGCUAAAGCUGUAAAUUGGCAACUUGUUUUUCUUUU
ensembl:lncRNA novel transcript, antisense to DAP3